AGACUACCAGCUAAGGUCCCUAAAUCUUACUUAAGUGGAAAACGAUGUGAAGUUACUUAAACAACCAGGAGGUUGGCUUAGAAGCAGCCAUCCUUUAAAGAAAGCGUAAUAGCUCACUGGUCUAGUGAUUUUGCGCGGAAAAUAUAACGGGGCUAAAGUAAGUACCGAAGCUGUAGACUUAGUUUACUAAGUGGUAGGAGAGCGUUCUAUUUGCGUCGAAGGUAUACCGGUAAGGAGUGCUGGAGCGAAUAGAAGUGAGCAUGCAGGCAUGAGUAGCGAUAAUUAAUGUGAGAAUCAUUAACGCCGUAAACCCAAGGUUUCCUACGCGAUGCUCGUCAUCGUAGGGUUAGUCGGGUCCUAAGUCGAGUCCGAAAGGGGUAGACGAUGGCAAAUUGGUUAAUAUUCCAAUACCAACAUUAGUGUGCGAUGGAAGGACGCUUAGGGCUAAGGGGGCUAGCGGAUGGAAGUGCUAGUCUAAGGUCGUAGGAGGUUAUACAGGCAAAUCCGUAUAACAAUACUCCGAGAACUGAAAGGCUUUUUGAAGUCUUCGGAUGGAUAGAAGAACCCCUGAUGCCGUCGAGCCAAGAAAAGUUUCUAAGUUUAGCUAAUGUUGCCCGUACCGUAAACCGACACAGGUGGGUGGGAUGAGUAUUCUAAGGCGCGUGGAAGAACUCUCUUUAAGGAACUCUGCAAAAUAGCACCGUAUCUUCGGUAUAAGGUGUGGUUAGCUUUGUAUUAGGAUUUACUCCGAAAGCAAGGAAACUUACAACAAAGAGUCCCUCCCGACUGUUUACCAAAAACACAGCACUCUGCUAACUCGUAAGAGGAUGUAUAGGGUGUGACGCCUGCCCGGUGCUCGAAGGUUAAUUGAUGGGGUUAGCAUUAGCGAAGCUCUUGAUCGAAGCCCGAGUAAACGGCGGCCGUAACUAUAACGGUCCUAAGGUAGCGAAAUUCCUUGUCGGUUAAAUACCGACCUGCAUGAAUGGCGUAACGAGAUGGGAGCUGUCUCAAAGAGGGAUCCAGUGAAAUUGUAGUGGAGGUGAAAAUUCCUCCUACCCGCGGCAAGACGGAAAGACCCCGUGGACCUUUACUACAGCUUGACACUGCUACUUGGAUAAGAAUGUGCAGGAUAGGUGGGAGGCUUUGAGUAUAUGACGCCAGUUGUAUAUGAGCCAUUGUUGAGAUACCACUCUUUCUUAUUUGGGUAGCUAACCAGCUUGAGUUAUCCUCAAGUGGGACAAUGUCUGGUGGGUAGUUUGACUGGGGCGGUCGCCUCCCAAAUAAUAACGGAGGCUUACAAAGGUUGGCUCAGAACGGUUGGAAAUCGUUCGUAGAGUAUAAAGGUAUAAGCCAGCUUAACUGCAAGACAUACAAGUCAAGCAGAGACGAAAGUCGGUCUUAGUGAUCCGGUGGUUCUGUGUGGAAGGGCCAUCGCUCAAAGGAUAAAAGGUACCCCGGGGAUAACAGGCUGAUCUCCCCCAAGAGCUCACAUCGACGGGGAGGUUUGGCACCUCGAUGUCGGCUCAUCGCAUCCUGGGGCUGGAGCAGGUCCCAAGGGUAUGGCUGUUCGCCAUUUAAAGCGGUACGCGAGCUGGGUUCAGAACGUCGUGAGACAGUUCGGUCCCUAUCUGCCGUGGGCGUAAGAAGAUUGAAGAGAUUUGACCCUAGUACGAGAGGACCGGGUUGAACAAACCACUGGUGUAGCUGUUGUUCUGCCAAGAGCAUCGCAGCGUAGCUAAGUUUGGAAAGGAUAAACGCUGAAAGCAUCUAAGCGUGAAGCCAACUCUAAGAUGAAUCUUCUCUAAGCUCUCUAGAAGACUACUAGUUUGAUAGGCUGGGUGUGUAAUGGAUGAAAGUCCUUUAGCUGACCAGUACUAAUAGAGCGUUUGGCUUAUCUUUAAUAAAGCAU
rnacentral:rRNA from 1 species